GAAAGAUCUCCCAUGCUCAUGGAUUGGCAGGAUUAAUUUAGUAAAAAUGGCCAUUUUACCAAAAGCAAUCUACAGAUUCAAUGCAAUCCCCAUCAAAAUACCAAUCCAAUUCUUCAAAGAGUUAGACAGAACAAUUUGCAAAUUCAUCUGGAAUAACAAAAAACCCAGGAUAGCUAAAGCUAUCCUCAACAAUAAAAGGACUUCAGGGGGAAUCACUAUCCCUGAACUCAAGCAGUAUUACAGAGCAAUAGUGAUAAAAACUGCAUGGUAUUGGUACAGAGACAGACAGAUAGACCAAUGAAAUAGAAUUGAAGACCCAGAAAUG
rnacentral:lncRNA from 1 species